AUGAAUUCCUUAGGAACCUUUAUUAUAAAUGGAAUAUACCGAAUUGUGAUCAAUCAAAUAUUGCUAAGUCCUGGUAUUUACUACCGCUCGGAAUUAGAUCAUAAGGGAAUUUCUAUCUACACUGGCACUAUAAUAUCAGAUUGGGGGGGGGGGAGAUCGGAAUUAGCAGUUGAUAAAAAAGAAAGGAUAUGGGCUCGUGUGAGUAGAAAACAAAAGAUAUCUAUUCUAGUUCUAUCAUCAGCUAUGGGUUCGAAUCUAAGAGAAAUUCUAGAUAAUGUUUCCUACCCUGAAAUUUUCAUGUCUUUCCCGAAUGCUAAAGAGAAGAAGAGGAUUGAGUCAAAAGAAUUCUGCAGUGGUCGGGCAUUGAGUCUUACUCAACUUCACAGCUUGUAA
rnacentral:rRNA from 1 species